rnacentral:tRNA from 1 species
GGGAGUAUAGCUCAGUGGUGGAGUGCAUGCCUGGCAUGCAUGAGGUCCUGGGAUCAAGUCCUGCUACCUCCA